GAUGAACGCUGGCGGCGUGCCUAAUACAUGCAAGUCGAGCGAACGGACGAGAAGCUUGCUUUUCUGAUGUUAGCGGCGGGCGGGUGAGUAACACGUGGAUAACCUACCUAUAAGACUGGGAUAACUUCGGGAAACCGGAGCUAAUACCGGAUAAUAUUUUGAACCGCAUGGUUCAAAAGUGAAAGACGGUCUUGCUGUCACUUAUAGAUGGAUCCGCGCUGCAUUAGCUAGUUGGUAAGGUAACGGCUUACCAAGGCAACGAUGCAUAGCCGACCUGAGAGGGUGAUCAGCCACACUGGAACUGAGACACGGUCCAGACUCCUACGGGAGGCAGCAGUAGGGAAUCUUCCGCAAUGGGCGAAAGCCUGACGGAGCAACGCCGCGUGAGUGAUGAAGGUCUUCGGAUCGUAAAACUCUGUUAUUAGGGAAGAACAUAUGUGUAAGUAACUGUGCACAUCUUGACGGUACCUAAUCAGAAAGCCACGGCUAACUACGUG
rnacentral:rRNA from 1 species